rnacentral:sRNA from 1 species
GAGGUUUCACCAUGUUAGCCAGGAUGGUCUCGAUCUCCUGACCUCGUGAUCCACCUGCCUCGGCUUCUUAAAGUGCUGGAAUUACAGGUGUGAGCCACUGCGCCCAACCUGGGUUUUGCAUUUUAAUAGUCACUUUGUAGGAAACUGGAAAUAGUAGUUGGCGGAGCCUGUGAUGGUGGAAAGGGCUUAGCCCCUGCAGGAGCUGGGGCCUCAGCAUGGGGUCUGAUGUUGGGUGCUACUCCUGUAUGUGGGACCCCUGCUUCUCUUCUUAAAACACCUCUUCUCACUGUGUCCUUCUCUUCUAGGAAUGGAUGUAUAUGGCUACCUACUGGCACGAGAAGGGCGGCUGGAGGAUGUUGAGAACCUUGGAUGCCGCCUUUUCAAUAUCUCUGAUCAGCAUGCAGAACCGUGGGUGGUUUCUGGCUGUCACAGCUUCUAUAGCAAACGCUACUCCCGGGCCCUCUAUUUAGGAGCCAAGGCCAUUCAGCUGAACAGUAAUAGUGUUCAAGCUUUGCUACUUAAGGGAGCAGCACUUAGGAACAUGGGCAGAGUCCAAGAAGCAAUAAUCCACUUUCGGGAGGCCAUACGGCUCGCACCUUGUCGCUUAGAUUGUUAUGAAGGUCUUAUCGAAUGUUACUUAGCCUCCAACAGUAUUCGAGAAGCAAUGGUAAUGGCUAACAACGUUUACAAAACUCUGGGAGCAAAUGCACAGACCCUUACCCUUUUAGCCACCGUUUGUCUUGAAGACCCAGUGACACAGGAGAAAGCCAAAACAUUAUUAGAUAAAGCCCUGACCCAAAGGCCAGAUUACAUUAAGGCUGUGGUGAAAAAAGCAGAACUACUUAGCAGAGAACAGAAAUAUGAAGAUGGAAUUGCUUUGCUGAGGAACGCACUGGCUAAUCAGAGUGACUGUGUCCUGCAUCGGAUCCU